UGUGGCGGUGCCAUGACGACAGAAGGUAAAUGAGCCAUUCAUAUUGGUAUUCACAUGGCUUGACAUCGAACUGGAGCAAGUACAAAACAAAGUUUGUUCUCAGAAUUGAAUGACACGAGAGGAUGUCAUAGUGAGAAGCAGCCUUAGACUGAACGACAUGCUUAGAUUGCGGUGUUUUGUUUGAGGGAGAUGGUCAGUGAGCUGUGAGAAACUCAGCUGUCAAGCACGGGUGAGAGGGAGAAAUACUAUGGAAGGAAUUUGAGGUCGGCUUCUUUGGGCAGAUGAAAUUCUUCCCGGUGUAGUCUCCUCCCCUCUUCAUUUACAACAGAAGUUAACAUCUGUGUUCCCUACUUUCCUUAGUUCUCAGACAUUUUGUCAUCUGUUACCACAACUAUUUAGUGACUCAACAAGAAUUUCCCUAAAUCACUGUGAGAUCUCAUUUGGAUUUUUAAUAAACAGUCACA
rnacentral:lncRNA from 1 species